CAGCAGCCGCGGUAAUACGAGGGGGGCGAGCGUUGUUCGGAAUUAUUGGGCGUAAAGGGUGCGUAGGCGGUUAGAUAAGUCUGAAGUUAAAGGCUGUGGCUUAACCAUAGUACGCUUUGGAAACUGUUUAACUUGAGUGCAAGAGGGGAGAGUGGAAUUCCAUGUGUAGCGGUGAAAUGCGUAGAUAUAUGGAGGAACACCGGUGGCGAAAGCGGCUCUCUGGCUUGUAACUGACGCUGAGGCUCGAAAGCGUGGGGAGCAAACAGGAUUAGAUACCCCCGUAGUCCCUGUCUCUUAUACA
rnacentral:rRNA from 1 species